GAGGCAGCUCAGGUGCUCCCAGUUAUAAAUUUGGUAGAGCUCCUCCUGGGGAGCCCCAGCUCCCUCCUGAUGGCGUUGCAGUUUGUGCCAGGAGGGUUGGAAGAAGGAGCAAGCAGAGCAGAGGUUGGAGAGGGCCGUGUCAUGCGCAGGGUACAGAAGACCAGUGACACAGGCUCCACGUGCUCACUGGGAGGAGGCUGGAGGCAGGCGAGGAAAAUCGGCUCUUGCUCAGUUGAAGUCAAGUGGAAACGACCCUGGAAAUCAGCAUCCUGCACAGCAGCCUCUGCAACAAACGCAGCAAAGCCGAAGGCUGCCUCGCUCCGGUCCCGCUUAGGCAAUUCCGUGGGAAGGUAACGGCACUGACUCCAGCGGAACGGCUCCCGAUUUAUGGCUGGCAGUGGCACUCGGCCCGUGGUGAAGACUGGCAUGUUUUAUACUCCCUCCACAUUGCUUCUAUUAAUCUGUUUAAUAUGCUGGCGGCGGCGAUGACAGCAGAGGCAAUAAAACCCGCGCGUGGCCGCUGUUUGUGCUCAGUUCAUUUAGGUGACCUGUCUUUAGUUCCUUGCUCUGCUCGCUGUAAUUGCUUCUUCAGAGUGAUGCUGCACUGUGAGCGCCGUACGGCAGCCCGGGUAUGUUUUUAUGGAAGGAUGAAGGAAGGCGAGGUUGAAGUCAUCAACCAAUAUUAACUGUGGAAGGUUUGUCACAAAUGACAUCUCAAUAGCGGUGUGUCUCUGCCUGCUGCUGGAGCCUCAGUAAAACAGUGCUGAGGACGAGGGCAGGACUGCGGGACAGCUUUGUCUCUCCAGCCUGCUUAAUAUUUUGCUUAGGAGCUGGAAACGCUGUGGAACAUUAUUUUACCUUGGGCACAGACAUCAUUUGUGUUCUCUGUACCUUUGGGAAAAAUUUAAAUACGUGGAUGUUUGCGUGAGGUUUUGCCAGGGACCUGUUUUUGUUCAGCACUAACAUCUGGGGGGAAGGAACUUUUUCCGGGAGAGACCAAUAGGGUGGGUGCUGAGCUUACGGUUACGUGGCAAGUUUAAUUAUGGAGGGAGCAAUGGUUGCUCCAAUGCAGCCUCACCUGCGGCAAAUCAAUGCAUGAGGUCUAACCCAAGUGUCUAUACAUGGGGAAGCUCUAGGUUUCUUUGGCAGGCUCCAGACAUGCAGCCUUUACUGACGGCAGCAGCCCCAGUCCAGCAGAGCCUGGGGAGAUGAAGCAAGGCUGGGAUUUUUGCCCAUAUGCCUGAGCUCUGAAGCGGGCAGGGAGUCCUGAGACCCCCCCCAGUGCACCAGGAGCUUUCUGCUCACGGUUGUUUUGAGCUGAGGGGUCAGCAGCGUGGAGUUGGUCCUGAGCCUGGAAAUCAUCCUGGUGAGAGCAGGGUCCAGAGCCCACGGGUGACCUGGGUGCGGGAGGGCAGCCGUGCUCGGGGCCUCUGCAGAGUCUGUGCGACAGAGCCCAUCUCGAUGUGCACUUAUGAGGGAGAUGAUUAAUCUAUUUGUUUUGCAUUGCUGCUAUUAUUAUUUUGCGCAUAAGCCUGAAUUAUGUAAGAACUUUCCUGCAGAAAUUGGGUUUGCGGGCUGCAAGCACAAAAAGAAGAAAAUUCUUUCUCUAAAA